rnacentral:pre_miRNA from 1 species
AGCUGGUUGUGCUGUAGCAGCACAGAAUGGUUUGUGGGUUCCACAGAGAUGCAGGCCAUACUGUGCUGCAGCAAUAAGGCCUGGA